rnacentral:rRNA from 1 species
UACGUAGGGGGCGAGCGUUUGUCCGGAUUUAUUGGGCGUAAAGAGCUCGUAGGCGGUUUGUCGCGUCUGCCGUGAAAGUCCGGGGCUCAACUCCGGAUCUGCGGUGGGUACGGGCAGACUAGAGUGAUGUAGGGGAGACUGGAAUUCCUGGUGUAGCGGUGAAAUGCGCAGAUAUCAGGAGGAACACCGAUGGCGAAGGCAGGUCUCUGGGCAUUAACUGACGCUGAGGAGCGAAAGCAUGGGGAGCGAACAGG